rnacentral:rRNA from 1 species
CCUACGGGAGGCUGCAGUGGGGAAUCUUCCGCAAUGGGCGAAAGCCUGACGGAGCAAUGCCGCGUGAGUGAUGAAGGAAUUCGUUCCGUAAAGCUCUUUUGUUUAUGACGAAUGUGCAUGUUGUGAAUAAUGACGUGUAAUGACGGUAGUAAACGAAUAAGCCACGGCUAACUACGUGCCAGCAGCCGCGGUAAUACGUAGGUGGCGAGCGUUGUCCGGAAUUAUUGGGCGUAAAGAGCAUGUAGGCGGUUUUUUAAGUCCGGAGUGAAAAUGCGGGGCUCAACCCCGUAUGGCUCUGGAUACUGGAAGACUUGAGUGCAGGAGAGGAAAGGGGAAUUCCCAGUGUAGCGGUGAAAUGCGUAGAUAUUGGGAGGAACACCAGUGGCGAAGGCGCCUUUCUGGACUGUGUCUGACGCUGAGAUGCGAAAGCCAGGGUAGCGAACGGGAUUAGAUACCCUAGUAGUC